UACGUAGGAGGCGAGCGUUGUCCGGAUUUACUGGGCGUAAAGCGCGCGCAGGCGGCACACUAAGUACGAUGUGAAAUCUCCCUGCUCAACGGGGAGGGUGCAUAGUAAACUGGUGAGCUAGAGGACGGUAGAGGGGGGUGGAAUUGCUGGUGUAGCGGUGAAAUACGUAGAGAUCAGCAGGAACACCCGUGGCGAAGGCGGCCCCCUGGGCCGAACCUGACGCUGAGGCGCGAAGGCUAGGGGAGCGAACGGG
rnacentral:rRNA from 1 species